GACGAACGCUGGCGGCGUGCUUAACACAUGCAAGUCGAACGGAAAGGCCCUGCUUUUGUGGGGUGCUCGAGUGGCGAACGGGUGAGUAACACGUGAGUAACCUGCCCUUGACUUUGGGAUAACUUCAGGAAACUGGGGCUAAUACCGGAUAGGAGCUCCUGCUGCAUAGUGGGGGUUGGAAAGUUUCGGCGGUUGGGGAUGGACUCGCGGCUUAUCAGCUUGUUGGUGGGGUAGUGGCUUACCAAGGCUUUGACGGGUAGCCGGCCUGAGAGGGUGACCGGCCACAUUGGGACUGAGAUACGGCCCAGACUCCUACGGGAGGCAGCAGUGGGGAAUAUUGCACAAUGGGCGGAAGCCUGAUGCAGCAACGCCGCGUGCGGGAUGACGGCCUUCGGGUUGUAAACCGCUUUCGCCUGUGACGAAGCGUGAGUGACGGUAAUGGGUAAAGAAGCACCGGCUAACUACGUGCCAGCAGCCGCGGUGAUACGUAGGGUGCGAGCGUUGUCCGGAUUUAUUGGGCGUAAAGGGCUCGUAGGUGGUUGAUCGCGUCGGAAGUGUAAUCUUGGGGCUUAACCCUGAGCGUGCUUUCGAUACGGGUUGACUUGAGGAAGGUAGGGGAGAAUGGAAUUCCUGGUGGAGCGGUGGAAUGCGCAGAUAUCAGGAGGAACACCAGUGGCGAAGGCGGUUCUCUGGGCCUUUCCUGACGCUGAGGAGCGAAAGCGUGGGGAGCGAACAGGCUUAGAUACCCUGGCAGUCCACGCUGUAAACGGUGGGUACUAGGUGUGGGGUCCAUUCCACGGGUUCCGUGCCGUAGCUAACGCUUUAAGUACCCCGCCUGGGGAGUACGGCCGCAAGGCUAA
rnacentral:rRNA from 1 species